ACGCUCGACACCUACGGAAGGCAGCAGUAGGGAAUCUUCCACAAUGGACGCAAGUCUGAUGGAGCAACGCCGCGUGAGUGAAGAAGGUCUUCGGAUCGUAAAACUCUGUUGUUAGAGAAGAACACGAGUGAGAGUAACUGUUCAUUCGAUGACGGUAUCUAACCAGCAAGUCACGGCUAACUACGUGCCAGCACGCCGAGUAUNGNGGCGGNGUGACGAG
rnacentral:rRNA from 1 species